rnacentral:rRNA from 1 species
UACGUAGGGUGCAAGCGUUGUUCGAAAUCACUGGGCAUAAAGCGCAUGUAGGCGGCUCGAUAAGUCGAGUGUGAAAGCCCCUGGCUCAACCAGGGAAUGGCAUUCGAAACUAUCGAUCUCGAGGGUGGUAGAGGAGAGUGGAACUCGUAGUGGAGCGGUGAAAUGCGUAGAUAUUACGAGGAACACCGGUGGCGAAAGCGACUCUCUGGACCAUACCUGACGCUGAGAUGCGAAAGCCAGGGGAGCAAACGGGAUUAGAAACCCGUGUAGU